UUCGCAAUGCCCGAAAGGGUGACGAAGCGACGCCGCGUGCGGGAAGAAGGCCUUCGGGUUGUAAACCGCUGUCGGGAGUUAAGAAAUGUAAGGAUGUUAAUAGCAUCUUUGCUUGACUAAGGCUCCGGAGGAAGCCGCGGCUAACUCUGUGCCAGCAGCCGCGGUAAUACAGAGGCGGCAAGCGUUGUUCGGAAUUAUUGGGCGUAAAGAGCACGUAGGCGGCUAUGUAAGUCGGUUGUGAAAGCCUUCCGCUCAACGGGAGAACAGCAUCCGGUACUGCAUGGCUUGAGUGCGGGAGGGGAGAGUGGAACUUCUGGUGGAGCGGUGAAAUGCGUAGAUAUCAGAAGGAACGCCGGCGGCGAAAGCGGCUCUCUGGCCCAUAACUGACGCUGAGUGUGCGAAAGCUAGGGGAGCAAACGGGAUUAGAUACCCCGGUAGUCCUAGCCGUAAACGAUGGGCACUAAGUAGAGGGGUUUU
rnacentral:rRNA from 1 species